rnacentral:misc_RNA from 1 species
AAGUCGUAACAAGGUUUCCGUAGGUGAACCUGCGGAAGGAUCAUCAAUAGUCCUAACGUCACGCUAUAAAAGGCCCUUUACAGGCCUUGUGGCAAACCACACCUUCUUGUGCACUGUUGUUCCGUCAUGGUUGACUGGGAGUGGCCGUUGUCGUUGUCUUUGUCGUUGCUGUUCGUAAGAGCCGUGACGGUGGUGACAACGAUGCGCCUCCCAGCCGGCCGUUUGAUAUUACAAACAAACUCUUUCAUAACACACAUUCUGAUUCUGUUGUAUUGUUGGCUAUUGCUGCCGCUUGCGGCGUCAAUGGCUGAUAAGUUAAUACUAAUACUGAUACAACUUACAGCGAUGGAUCUCUAGGCUCUG